UCGGUGGCCUAUAGAGGAUUUUGAAAAGGAACAUGCAAGCCUUAGUGAGAUUAAGGAUGUCUGGAAAAAAACCUUCUACAUUGGACGCAGACCCAUAGGAAGAAGUUAGCGGUUUGGAACACUCAAUUGCAGAACAAAAAAGGAACCGCAAAACAAACUAUGUGGAAGAGGCAAGUAUUGCAUUUCUUCAAAACACACAUUUUAAUCAUUGUAU